rnacentral:rRNA from 1 species
GAGUUUGAUCAUGGCUCAGGAUGAACGCUGGCGGCGUGCUUAACACAUGCAAGUCGAACGAACCUUCGGGUUAGUGGCGGACGGGUGAGUAACGCGUGGGAAUCUGCCCUCAGGAGGGGGAUAACGGCUGGAAACGGCCGCUAAUACCCCAUAUGCCGAGAGGUGAAAUGAAUUUCGCCUGAGGAUGAGCCCGCGUCUGAUUAGCUAGUUGGUGAGGUAAGAGCUCACCAAGGCAUCGAUCAGUAGCUGGUCUGAGAGGAUGAUCAGCCACACUGGGACUGAGACACGGCCCAGACUCCUACGGGAGGCAGCAGUGGGGAAUUUUCCGCAAUGGGCGAAAGCCUGACGGAGCAACGCCGCGUGAGGGAUGAAGGCCUCUGGGCUGUAAACCUCUUUUCUCAAGGAAGAAGAUCUGACGGUACUUGAGGAAUAAGCCACGGCUAAUUCCGUGCCAGCAGCCGCGGUAAUACGGGAGUGGCAAGCGUUAUCCGGAAUUAUUGGGCGUAAAGCGUCCGCAGGCGGCCCUUCAAGUCUGCUGUUAAAAAGUGGAGCUUAACUCCAUCAUGGCAGUGGAAACUGUUGGGCUUGAGUGUGGUAGGGGCAGAGGGAAUUCCCGGUGUAGCGGUGAAAUGCGUAGGUAUCGGGAAGAACACCAGUGGCGAAGGCGCUCUGCUGGGCCAUAACUGACGCUCAUGGACGAAAGCCAGGGGAGCGAAAGGGAUUAGAUACCCCUGUAGUCCUGGCCGUAAACGAUGAACACUAGGUGUCGGGGGAAUCGACCCCCUCGGUGUCGUAGCCAACGCGUUAAGUGUUCCGCCUGGGGAGUACGCACGCAAGUGUGAAACUCAAAGGAAUUGACGGGGGCCCGCACAAGCGGUGGAGUAUGUGGUUUAAUUCGAUGCAACGCGAAGAACCUUACCAGGGUUUGACAUCCUGCGAACCUCUUGGAAACGAGAGGGUGCCUUCGGGAACGCAGUGACAGGUGGUGCAUGGCUGUCGUCAGCUCGUGUCGUGAGAUGUUGGGUUAAGUCCCGCAACGAGCGCAACCCACGUCUUUAGUUGCCAGCAUUUAGUUGGGCACUCUAGAGAGACUGCCGGUGAUAAACCGGAGGAAGGUGUGGAUGACGUCAAGUCAUCAUGCCCCUUACAUCCUGGGCUACACACGUACUACAAUGCUACGGACAAAGGGCAGCAAGUUCGCGAGGACAAGCAAAUCCCAUAAACCGUGGCUCAGUUCAGAUCGUAGGCUGCAACUCGCCUACGUGAAGGCGGAAUCGCUAGUAAUCGCAGUCAGCAUACUGCGGUGAAUACGU